rnacentral:rRNA from 1 species
CACGCCCUAAACGAUGUCAACUAGUUGUUGGGGAUUCAUUUCCUUAGUAACGUAGCUAACGCGUGAAGUUGACCGCCUGGGGAGUNCGCGAAAAACCUUACCUACCCUUGACAUGCCACUAACGAAGCAGAGAUGCAUUAGGUGCUCGAAAGAGAAAGUGGACACAGGUGC